rnacentral:lncRNA from 1 species
UUUUUUUUUGCUGGGCUUAAGAUAAAAAAACAUUUAAUGCUUUAACACACGUCAAUUAUUAAUCCUCCCAUGUCUACUGAUAGAUUUUAUUGCUGCCUAAUUGAAAAAUCCUUUUGAGGUUUGCAUAUUUGCCAAAGCUUCUAUAAACACUUGAGGCCACGAAUCAUCUAGUAAACUCCCAGUGACAAGAUAAACGAUGCUCAAUUCCCAUGUUCUUCAGCUAAUGAACAUUCUUAUGCUCCAAAAUGCUCUCUCGAUCAUCUUUUUUUUAGAAUGUUCACAACAUUAUAUUGAACCAUCCAAAGUGAGAAAUUUGUUAAUAGAUGGUACUCUAAGCCAUCCCAAAGAACCCUAGAAAACUGGUUAUUCUGAUGAACGUACCCAACCCUGACCAAGCCUGAACAAGUUCUAAGACUUUGUGAGUCGCACAUAAAAACAGAAGAAAUAACACUCUUUCAGAUCCCAUUAAUGCAGAACGAGAAAAUUAAACCUUCAUCAAUCGAUAACAGAACUCUAAUCCUUAUAAAUGCAGGAUUUAAGAUACCUGUAACCCACUUCAAAAGAGAGCACUUGCCACCAGUCGCCACCACAUCUUGCGGAACCCUAGAUCAUACAGCCCCACGAGAAAUCAAUCAGGCACAUCAAAUCGUUCGCCAGAGAAUCAAUUUUUUAGAUCAUACAUAUACCAUACCCCCAAAAUUCCUCAAAUUCUACACAAUGGCAGGCGAUCAACACAA